UACGUAGGGAGCGAGCGUUGUCCGGAUUUAUUGGGCGUAAAGCGCGCGUAGGCGGUUUGGUAAGCCGGGUGUGAAACCCUCAAGCUCAACUCGGGGCGGCCACUCGGUACUGCCAUGACUAGAGUCUCGUAGGGGAACACGGAAUACCUGGUGUAGCGGUGAAAUGCUUAGAUAUCAGGUGGAACACCAGUGGCGAAGGCGGUGUUCUGGGCGAGUACUGACGCUAAGGCGCGAAAGCGUGGGGAGCGAACAGG
rnacentral:rRNA from 1 species